CCUACGGGUGGCAGCAGUGGGGAAUAUUGGACGAUGGGCGAAAGCCUGAUCCAGCCAUGCCGCGUGUGUGAAGAAGGCCUUCGGGUUGUAAAGCACUUUCAGUGGGGAAGAAAGCCUUGGGGCUAAUACCCUCGAGGAAGGACAUCACCCACAGAAGAAGCACCGGCUAACUCCGUGCCAGCAGCCGCGGUAAUACGGAGGGUGCGAGCGUUAAUCGGAAUUACUGGGCGUAAAGCGCGCGUAGGCGGUCUGAUAAGCCGGUUGUGAAAGCCCCGGGCUCAACCUGGGAACGGCAUCCGGAACUGUCAGGCUAGAGUGCAGGAGAGGAAGGUAGAAUUCCCGGUGUAGCGGUGAAAUGCGUAGAGAUCGGGAGGAAUACCAGUGGCGAAGGCGGCCUUCUGGACUGACACUGACGCUGAGGUGCGAAAGCGUGGGUAGCAAACAGGAUUAGAUACCCCAGUAGUC
rnacentral:rRNA from 1 species